GACGUAGGGCGCGAGCGUUGUCCGGAUUUAUUGGGCGUAAAGAGCUCGUAGGCGGCUUGUCGCGUCGUCCGUGAAAACCUGCAGCUCAACUGCAGGCUUGCGGUCGAUACGGGCAGGCUGGAGUUCGGUAGGGGAGACUGGAAUUCCUGGUGUAGCAGUGAAAUGCGUAGAUAUCAAGAGGAACACCAGUGGCGAAGGCGAGUCCCUGGACGACUCCUGACACUGAGGCACGAAAGCUAGGGGAGCAAACAGG
rnacentral:rRNA from 1 species